AACGAACGCUGGCGGCGUGCUUAACACAUGCAAGUCGAACGGAAAGGCCCGGCUUGUGUGGGGGGCUCGAGUGGCGAACGGGUGAGUAACACGUGAGUAACCUGCCCUUGACUUUGGGAUAACUUCAGGAAACUGGGGCUACUACCGGCUAGGAGCUCCUGCUGCCUGGUGGGGGUUGGAACGUUUCGGUGGGUGGGGGUGGACUCGCGGCUUAUCAGCUGGUUGGUGGGGUAGUGGCUUACCGAGGCUUUGGCAGGUAGCCGGCCUGAGAGGGUGACCGGCCCCCAUGGGACUGAGAUAGGGCGCAGACGCCUACGGGAGGCAGCAGUGGGGAAUAUGGUCCAACGGGGGGAAGCGUGAUGCAGCAACGCCGCGUGCGUGAUGACGGCCUUCGGGUGGUGAACCGCUUUCGCCUGUGACGAAGCGUGAGUGACGGUAAUGGGUAAAGAAGCACCGGCUAACUACGUG
rnacentral:rRNA from 1 species